GUGGUAUUUGCUCCAUGCAAAAUAGCAAUGUCAACACAACUGCAAAGGUGCUUCCCCUCCUGGCAUUCUGUGAGGUUCAAGGUGCAGAGGUGGAGCCCGGAUGAAGAGGGAAGGAGCUGCCAAGGCUGGAUAAGGUUUUGCCUUCAAUCGUGAGCAGAAAUGUUUCUGGCCUUCAGCGGUUUCCUGGGAGUCCAGCUUCCGGCUGGAUCUUCCACCUCCUCCUUAUCUUGUCCUUCCUCCUUGCUCUUCUUUCACCCCCUUUCCUCUUCCUUUUCUUUCUUUAGCCAGUCUCAGCCCUCUUCCCUCUGCUGCUACUUGUUCUCUGUCCACACAGGACCUCUCAUUGAAGUCUGUCUGCCUUUGGGUCUCUUUACCAAGCCUCCAGCCAGAGAUGCAGCAGUGAGAAGCAGGGGUGCAGAACAUUGACUGCAAGUCAGACAGGUCUGUGUGCAAAUUCCUGGUUUUCUGUUUAGUAACUCUGUGAACUGGGGCAAGUUCUUCAACUUCUUGGUGCCUCGAUUUCCUUAUCAGUAUAAUAAGAAUAAUAUCUACUUCACAGUUUCGUGUUCUUGUGAAGAUUUACGAGAUAACCUAUGUAUAUGGAUGAGCACUUAGUAGGUGUCUAUGCCCAACCCACCAUACAGAUUUUAAUUUCAAAUCACUUCCCAAUCAAAUUUGAAGGUCUUUUUUAAAAAGGAUUAUUUGUUUUCCAUGUAAGGUUGAUUACUUUAUUGCCAAUUUAAACACAAAUGACUGGGAGUUCCCUUCGUGUCUCAGCGGAAAGGAAUCUGACUAGUAUCCAUGAAGACUCUGGCUGGAUCCCUGGCCUCGCUCAGUGGGUUAAGGAUUUGGCAUUGUCCAGAGCUAUGGUGUAGCUUGCAAACAUGGCUCAGAUCUGGUGUUGCAGUGGCUGUGGCGUAGGUCGGCAGCUGUAGCUCUGUUUCAACCUCUAACCUGGGAACUUCUAUAUGCUGUGGGUGCAGCCCUAAAAAGACAUACAUACAUACAUACAUACAUACAAAUGACUUUAUAUUGGAAAAAAACCUAUUUGCUGCAAAAGUAAGAGUCAAACUAAUGUAGGCAGAAGAUUUCUUCAUAUUAGCCAAAGAUGAGAAGCAACCAAAACGUCCUUCAAUGGGCGAAAGGAGAAACUGUGGUUAUAGCACAUCCAUACAAUGGAAUACAACGUGAAUCAGCAAUAAAAAGAAAUGAAGUAUAAAUAUAACACAGCAAUAUGGGUGGAUCUCAAAAACAUUAUACUAAGCAAAAGAAGACACGCACAAAAGGGUACAUAAAUGCAUGAUUCUCUUUAUGUGAAAUAUCAGAAAAGACAAACAUAAUCUACGGUGAUAGAAAGCAGAUCAGUGAGUCUCUGGGACCAGGGGUGGGAGUGGGGAUCAACUGGCACAAAGAAACAUUUUUGAAUGAAGGAAUAGCCUCCAAAAUUGAUCGUGGUGGUAGUUAACGAGGGUGUUACUGGUCAAAACUCAUGGAUGUGUACCAUGAAAACGGAUGCGUUUUACCUUAUGUAAACUCUACCACAAUAAAGGUGAUUUAGAAAAAUAAGAAUCGAGAAAAACUGACAAUUUGGAUAACUCACACUUGACAAGUACCUGCCCACAGUGAUUUAUCUUUUUUUCCUUUAACAUCCCUCAUCUAAGGAAAGAGAGAAAAACAUGCCUUUGUUGUACAGAUAUUCCAGUAAGAGGUAUUAGCCACGCCUUGGAAUGAGGAGGAGUUUGGGGUGUAGAGUGUUGUGCUUUCAUGGUUUGGGAAGGAGGCCAUCUGUUGUCUCCCAUCAGCUUUGUUCCUUUGUUCCCGAGGGUAUGGGGUGUGUUAUAUUACUUUAUAAACCCUUCUCAAGUUCUGCCCAUCUUCUUUUGCCCCUUCCCCCCUGCCCUUUGCCCCUUUCCUUUUCUUCCUUUCUUUGUAUUUCUUUGCCUGCCAAGUUCUGCGAGGUUCUGAAUCACAGAAAAACAGAUCACCUCACAUUAAUCUGAAAAGCCAGGUUCAAACAGGAAAAGUAAGCAGGAACAUUUCGGGCAAUUGUCUUGAGAUAAUCCAAGCCAAAGUUCUGCUUUUUGUCUUGUUCUCGUGAUAAACUGGGUUUCUUUGCCUGAAUAAGUAAGCCUAAUUCUUCAUUACUAUCCACAUCUGUGCCCGUGGAGGAAACAUAGUGAGAUCAGGUGUGUUUGGAAGUUGUAGCUCAGAAGAGAUGCUGACAAAGCAUAUAAACACUUUGGAAUUUCUGGUAGCAAAUACAUUUUAAAAAGAGAUAUAGGAGUUCUGGCUGUGGUGCAGUGGGUUAAGAGUCCAACUGCAACAGCUCAGGUGGCUGCAGUGGUGCGGGUUUGAUCCCUGGCUCCCACGCAGUGGGUUAAACGGUGUUGUUGCAGCUGCGGCUCAGAUUCAAUUCCUGGCCUGGGAACUUCCAUAUGCUGCAGGUAUAGCCACUAGGGGAAAAAAAAAAAAAAGAAAGAAAAAAAA
rnacentral:lncRNA from 1 species